UGGGGAAUAUUGCACAAUGGGCGCAAGCCUGAUGCAGCCAUGCCGCGUGUGUGAAGAAGGCCUUCGGGUUGUAAAGCACUUUCAGCGGGGAGGAAGGCGGUGAGGUUAAUAACCUCACCGAUUGACGUUACCCGCAGAAGAAGCACCGGCUAACUCCGUGCCAGCAGCCGCGAUAAUACGGAGGGUGCAAGCGUUAAUCGGAAUUACUGGGCGUAAAGCGCACGCAGGCGGUCUGUCAAGUCGGAUGUGAAAUCCCCGGGCUCAACCUGGGAACUGCAUUCGAAACUGGCAGGCUAGAGUCUUGUAGAGGGGGGUAGAAUUCCAGGUGUAGCGGUGAAAUGCGUAGAGAUCUGGAGGAAUACCGGUGGCGAAGGCGGCCCCCUGGACAAAGACUGACGCUCAGGUGCGAAAGCGUGGGGAGCAAACAGG
rnacentral:rRNA from 1 species